rnacentral:snRNA from 1 species
GUGCUCAAUUUGGCAGCACAUAUACUAAAAUUUGAAUAAUACAGAAAAGAGUAAAAUGGCCCCUGUGCAAGGAUGACAUGAAAAUUCAUGAAGCAUUUCAUAUUUUU